UACGUAGGGGGCGAGCGUUAUCCGGAUUUACUGGGCGUAAAGCGCGUUAAGGCGGUUGGCAAAGUUGGUUGUGAAAUCUCAGGGCUCAACCCUGAAAUUGCGACCAAUACUGGUCGACUAGAGUGUGAGAGAGGAAGGUGGAAUUCCCGGUGUAGUAGUGAAAUGCGUAGAUAUCGGGAGGAACACCAGUGGCGAAGGCGGCCUUCUGGCUCAUAACUGACGCUGUAGCGCGAAAGCGUGGGGAGCGGACCGG
rnacentral:rRNA from 1 species